rfam:Camelus ferus unplaced genomic scaffold scaffold1430, whole genome shotgun sequence.
GAGGGUAUAGCUCAAGUGGUAGAGUGCAUACUUAGCACGCAGGAGGUCCUGGGUCCAAUCCCCAGUACAUUUA